ensembl:lncRNA
GAGAGUUGGGAGAUGUUUUAAUGAUAACUUCAUCCCCCCGUGGUGGAGGAGCCGGAUGAGUAAAUCAAGUGAAACCAAGUGUUAAAUGCAUGAGAGUAGAGCCGAUAUAUAUUUAAUGACCCAUGGCAUUGCAUGACCAACCACACACACACACACACACACACCGCACUCUAACACACACAAACCCUCUUAUCAUAAGAACACACACACUUAAAUACACAAAUACAAGCACUCGCCUAGUAAAAAUGUCCUCCGUCCAGCUAACUGUAUAUGUUGCAUCUGACCACACGAUUUAUUAUUCUCUUUCUGUCGGGCACAAAACCAAAAAUUAGGCUAUAGGGCCUCGACAUAAAAAAACGCAAAGGCUAGAAUAAUGUAAUCAGAUUCCAGAGAUGUAAAUAAUAAGCCUUUGUAAGAAGUAACAUUCACACUCAAAGAAUUCAGCGUACUGUGUUACUGUUCACUGUAGCAGAAAUUAAUUAAAUUAACUUGGUUGAACACAUAUUUCUUAUCAUAUUGCCCUUCAAUUUCGUGCAACGGUAAAACGAUUUAAAAUUUCCAAUUAUUUCUCAUUAAACAUCGUCUCGCCACCUUUGAGUGAGUUCUCCUUGAUUGCAAUGUAAAAUUAACAUACUCUUGUGAAAUAGCUGAGGGGAUCCCUAAAUGAAAAAAAAACAAAAACAACACAUCGUCAGUCCGUCAAUCAAAGGGAAGGCAAUGACAGAGCAGAAAUGAGCUCAGGGAUAUUUCUAACCUCUAUUUAUCCGGCUCUCAAUGCCUUGUUAUUGCCCCACUUAACCCCGCCGCAAACGGCCAUUGUCACACAAAUUCCCAACCUCAGUCUUUGACCUGAAGCAUUCAUUAAACUCCCGGUUGUGUUUACGCGCCGUGCUCGGGGGGGGGGGGGGGAUGAGCCCCAAUGAAAGGACGGCGGACGUUUUAGACCCUUUUUCCACCGACCCAGAAGGCCUGAGGCCUGACGUCGCUCCUCCAGGCAGAGCAUCGCCUCCCGCAUCGCCUCCCGUUCACGCGGCGGGCAUUUCUCUUCAACCUGCCAGGGCGAGAGAUUUAUUGGUAGUGUGUAAUGCUUUGUCAAGACAGAAUACAGCGAUGUGUUGAAAAGCUUAAAGGGCUGCGUUGUGAGACAGAACACUAAGAGACAGUGAGGACAUCCUCAUAGUGCGGUUCAGAUAACACCCGCUUUUGAAAUUCACCCCAUCGCUUAGCAGUUUUGUUGUUGUCAAAACUUAAAGAAAGUCUUCAAUGAUCAUUUAGUGUACUAGUUUAUCAUCAUUUGGCAAUGAAGCCUUGCGAUUGACUUCCAUUUGAAAGAAGAAAAAAAAGGAAAUAAAUCUUCCAGUCGGCAGGGAAAGUUGCAAUAUUCCACCCUCCCACACAUGCACACACACAAACACACACACAAAACUGUGAGGACGACAAAGGGAAGAGUUCGGUGGUAACAAAUGAUUGGAGUUUGCUCUGUGGCAGAACAGUGGUUCCCUCUGAUUAUCUCUAAUUAACCUCUGAGGAAUAGAACCAGCGAGCACAGAGGGAUUAACGCGCAGAGGCAUGAUCUGUGUGUGUGUGUGUGUGUGUGUGUGUGUGUCGAAAAGCCACCAGCCCUCAAGUACACAGAGUCCCGUGCUUUGUCUCCCCUACAGUACACAGUCACACGUGACCCAGCAGUGGCUUUCGGUGCAGGAGACGUCACUGUAUCAUGACAGAAUCAUCCAAAUUCACGCGCCAGAGGAAAAACACAUAAAAAAGAGAAGGUUGAACUCUAGUAGAGAUUUAAUAUUCUCUAGUCUCUAAUUAGUAAAGGCUUCAGGUGCCAAGGCAAUUAGUUUCACAA